GACGAACGCUGGCGGCGUGCUUAACACAUGCAAGUCGAACGGUAAGGCCCUUCGGGGUACACGAGUGGCGAACGGGUGAGUAACACGUGGGUGAUCUGCCCUGCACUUCGGGAUAAGCCUGGGAAACUGGGUCUAAUACCGGAUAGGACCACUGCCUGCAUGGGUGGUGGGGGAAAGCUUUUGCGGUGUGGGAUGGGCCCGCGGCCUAUCAGCUUGUUGGUGGGGUGAUGGCCUACCAAGGCGACGACGGGUAGCCGGCCUGAGAGGGUGCCCGGCCACACUGGGACUGAGAUGCGGCCCAGACGCCUACGGGAGGCAGCAGUGGGGAAUAUUGCACAAUGGGCGCAAGCCUGAUGCAGCGACGCCGCGUGAGGGAUGACGGCCUUCGGGUUGUAAACCUCUUUCAGCACCGACGAAGCGCAAGUGACGGUAGGUGCAGAAGAAGGACCGGCCAACUACGUGCCAGCCGCCGCCGUAA
rnacentral:rRNA from 1 species